GGGUUGUGAGGUUAAGCGACUAAGCGUACACGGUGGAUGCCCUGGCAGUCAGAGGCGAUGAAGGACGUGCUAAUCUGCGAUAAGCGCCGGUAAGGUGAUAUGAACCGUUAUAACCGGCGAUUUCCGAAUGGGGAAACCCAGUGUGAUUCGUCACACUAUCAUUAACUGAAUCCAUAGGUUAAUGAGGCGAACCGGGGGAACUGAAACAUCUAAGUACCCCGAGGAAAAGAAAUCAACCGAGAUUCCCCCAGUAGCGGCGAGCGAACGGGGAGGAGCCCAGAGCCUGAAUCAGCAUGUGUGUUAGUGGAAGCGUCUGGAAAGGCGCGCGAUACAGGGUGACAGCCCCGUACACAAAAGCGCAUGUGCUGUGAGCUCGAUGAGUAGGGCGGGACACGUGGUAUCCUGUCUGAAUAUGGGGGGACCAUCCUCCAAGGCUAAAUACUCCUGACUGACCGAUAGUGAACCAGUACCGUGAGGGAAAGGCGAAAAGAACCCCGGCGAGGGGAGUGAAAAAGAACCUGAAACCGUGUACGUACAAGCAGUGGGAGCCCCACCACUAAGCCAGUGGUGAACUCCACAUACGCAUCCUUUGCUGAGGAUACGGUUAACGGAGCGAAAGCGACGUUCAACCUCAAAAGAAGCAGAGGGGGCUUAGUGGUGGGGUGACUGCGUACCUUUUGUAUAAUGGGUCAGCGACUUAUAUUCUGUAGCAAGGUUAACCGAAUAGGGGAGCCGGAGGGAAACCGAGUCUUAAUUGGGCGUUAAGUUGCAGGGUAUAGACCCGAAACCCGGUGAUCUAGCCAUGGGCAGGUUGAAGGUUGGGUAACACUAACUGGAGGACCGAACCGACUAAUGUUGAAAAAUUAGCGGAUGACCUGUGGCUGGGGGUGAAAGGCCAAUCAAACCGGGAGAUAGCUGGUUCUCCCCGAAAGCUAUUUAGGUAGCGCCUCGUGAAUUCAUCUCCGGGGGUAGAGCACUGUUUCGGCUAGGGGGCCAUCCCGGCUUACCAACCCGAUGCAAACUGCGAAUACCGGAGAAUGUUAUCACGGGAGACACACGGCGGGUGCUAACGUCCGUCGUGAAGAGGGAAACAACCCAGACCGCCAGCUAAGGUCCCAAAGUCAUGGUUAAGUGGGAAACGAUGUGGGAAGGCCCAGACAGCCAGGAUGUUGGCUUAGAAGCAGCCAUCAUUUAAAGAAAGCGUAAUAGCUCACUGGUCGAGUCGGCCUGCGCGGAAGAUGUAACGGGGCUAAACCAUGCACCGAAGCUGCGGCAGCGACGCUGAUGCGUUGUUGGGUAGGGGAGCGUUCUGUAAGCCUGCGAAGGUGGCCUGUGAGGGUUGCUGGAGGUAUCAGAAGUGCGAAUGCUGACAUAAGUAACGAUAAAGCGGGUGAAAAGCCCGCUCGCCGGAAGACCAAGGGUUCCUGUCCAACGUUAAUCGGGGCAGGGUGAGUCGACCCCUAAGGCGAGGCCGAAAGGCGUAGUCGAUGGGAAACGGGUUAAUAUUCCCGUACUUGGUGUUACUGCGAAGGGGGGACGGAGAAGGCUAUGUUGGCCGGGCGACGGUUGUCCCGGUUUAAGCGUGUAGGUGUGUGUUCCAGGUAAAUCCGGUUCACUUUAACACUGAGGCGUGACGACGAGGCACUACGGUGCUGAAGCAACAAAUGCCCUGCUUCCAGGAAAAGCCUCUAAGCAUCAGGUAACAUCAAAUCGUACCCCAAACCGACACAGGUGGUCAGGUAGAGAAUACCAAGGCGCUUGAGAGAACUCGGGUGAAGGAACUAGGCAAAAUGGUGCCGUAACUUCGGGAGAAGGCACGCUGACACGUAGGUGAAGUGAUUUACUCAUGGAGCUGAAGUCAGUCGAAGAUACCAGCUGGCUGCAACUGUUUAUUAAAAACACAGCACUGUGCAAACACGAAAGUGGACGUAUACGGUGUGACGCCUGCCCGGUGCCGGAAGGUUAAUUGAUGGGGUCAGCGCAAGCGAAGCUCCUGAUCGAAGCCCCGGUAAACGGCGGCCGUAACUAUAACGGUCCUAAGGUAGCGAAAUUCCUUGUCGGGUAAGUUCCGACCUGCACGAAUGGCGUAAUGAUGGCCAGGCUGUCUCCACCCGAGACUCAGUGAAAUUGAACUCGCUGUGAAGAUGCAGUGUACCCGCGGCAAGACGGAAAGACCCCGUGAACCUUUACUAUAGCUUGACACUGAACAUUGAGCCUUGAUGUGUAGGAUAGGUGGGAGGCUUUGAAGUGUGGACGCCAGUCUGCAUGGAGCCGACCUUGAAAUACCACCCUUUAAUGUUUGAUGUUCUAACGUGGACCCGUUACCCGGGUUGCGGACAGUGUCUGGUGGGUAGUUUGACUGGGGCGGUCUCCUCCUAAAGAGUAACGGAGGAGCACGAAGGUUGGCUAAUCCUGGUCGGACAUCAGGAGGUUAGUGCAAUGGCAUAAGCCAGCUUGACUGCGAGCGUGACGGCGCGAGCAGGUGCGAAAGCAGGUCAUAGUGAUCCGGUGGUUCUGAAUGGAAGGGCCAUCGCUCAACGGAUAAAAGGUACUCCGGGGAUAACAGGCUGAUACCGCCCAAGAGUUCAUAUCGACGGCGGUGUUUGGCACCUCGAUGUCGGCUCAUCACAUCCUGGGGCUGAAGUAGGUCCCAAGGGUAUGGCUGUUCGCCAUUUAAAGUGGUACGCGAGCUGGGUUUAGAACGUCGUGAGACAGUUCGGUCCCUAUCUGCCGUGGGCGCUGGAGAACUGAGGGGGGCUGCUCCUAGUACGAGAGGACCGGAGUGGACGCAUCACUGGUGUUCGGGUUGUCAUGCCAAUGGCACUGCCCGGUAGCUAAAUGCGGAAGAGAUAAGUGCUGAAAGCAUCUAAGCACGAAACUUGCCCCGAGAUGAGUUCUCCCUGAGACUUUAAGUCUCCUGAAGGAACGUUGAAGACGACGACGUUGAUAGGCCGGGUGUGUAAGCGCAGCGAUGCGUUGAGCUAACCGGUACUAAUGAACCGUGAGGCUUAACCUUACAACGCCGAAG
rnacentral:rRNA from 1 species